AUAAAAUAAAUCUUUACAGGAUAUAUUCAAUCUUAAAAAACACUUUCAUUUUUUUUUUUUUCACUUUCAUUCACAAAAAGACAUUCAACUCAAUCCAAGUUUAGACAAUAAUCCCUUGAUCACAAAAAUCUUAAAAAGAGAAAAUGAGAAAAGAAGGUAAAAUGAAAAUAGAGAUGUGAGGGCAGGCAGGUAGUGGAAAAGAGAGAGAAAAAGGAUGGUGGAAAAAUGGAGGUGGAGGGAAUGGAGAAAGAUAGAGGAAGGUACUAGAGAGGCAGGGGAAGUAGAGGAAGGUAGAAGGUGGUGAGAGGUAGAGGAUAUAGGAAGAAAAAAAAUUCUAAAAUAAAAGAUAAUAUGUGUUAAUCAAUUUAACAUAAAGAAAGAGAUCAAAUUAAUUUUAUUUAACAAAUAUUUGAAUUAGAUUGAGUAAAAAUAUAUAUUAAAACGAAAUUAUUUGUCUAAAUAUAAAAAUCAAAAUU
rnacentral:lncRNA from 1 species